rnacentral:piRNA from 1 species
UGACAAGAUUGACUAUUUCAGCUACCUGC